rnacentral:rRNA from 1 species
AUGCUUAAAAUUAUGGAGCACAUGGGGUUUGACGCCAAAUGGCUGGAUUGGAUCAAAUGCAUCUUCUCCUCCAGAAAAUCUUCAGUCCUCCUUAAUAGUGUUCCAGGUCGACAAUUCCUCUGCAAAUGUGGUGUUCAUCAAGGUGACCCCUUAUCACCACUCAUUUUCGUUCUGGCUGCUGACCUGCUUCGGGCUGCUAUUAAUGACGCGUUCCGACAAGGCCAAAUUCAGCUACCGUUCCGGAGACCAAACCAGAAUGAUUAUCCUGUGAUCCAAUAUGCCGACGACACGAUAAUUCUACUCCCAGCUUCCGCUGAACAAGCUACGACAAUCAAGGGCAUUCUUUCGGAUUAUGCUACUUCAAUUGGUUUGAAGAUAAAUUUCCACAAGUCCACUUUAAUCCCGAUCAACUGUGAACCUGAUUGCUACAACGACGUCGCCUCUAUCUUUGGUUGCAAGGUAGGAUCUAUGCCUUUCACUUACCUGGGAUUACCUCUUGGAAUAACCAAGCCUACGGUCCAAGAUCUGAUGCCUCUAGUCUGCUCGAUGGAAAGAAGAAUGACCAUCACUCUAGCACUAAUGUCAUAUGGUGCAAAGUUAUCGCCCCUCAACACAAUGAUCACAUCACUCACCAUAUUUUCUCUCUGCACCCUCAAAUUCCCACCGAAGAUUCUAGAGCUGCUUGAUAAACUCAGAAGAAAGUGCCUUUGGACAAAAAAAUGGAGCAAGGAGAUAAAUGCAACUCACUUGCGGCUUGGGACAUGGUUUGCCGACCAAAGCAAAGUGGUGGCCUCGGUAUCAUCAAUCUCCGUAUCCAAAGCGAGGCCCUUCUCCUCAAAUAUAUGCACAAAUUUUACAACCACCACGACCUGCCUUGGGUGGAGCUGA